GCGAGUCUGGCCGAGCGGUUAAGGCGAUGGUUUUAGGAGGAAGGAGCGACCUGCAUCUACCUCGAACACCAUUGGGCAUGCCCGCGUAGGUUCGAAUCCUACGGCUCGCA
rnacentral:tRNA from 2 species